ACUCACAGUUUCAUUAAUUAGGAAAACAAGAAAGUAACACACGUGCUCAUUUAAACUAUUCACUUGGGCUGUUAUUUGAGCUUCGAAAAUGGUUGAUUGCUGUUUUCAGUUCGUUUUAACAAACCCAACCGUCUCCAUGAAACACUCCAACGAAACCCUAAACGACGAUACUGUUCAUCUUCCUGCUGCAGGAAUCUAGCAACAUUUUGCAGUUACAUUCAAGCGAAGGAUCAUUUUCAACACAAUCAUUAACUAUUAUCAGUCUAUGAUUCAGUGGUUCCUCAUUUAUUGACUCCGCCAGAAACUUCAACUAUAAAAAGAAACGCUUUCUGCGUUGACUCCGGCUAAAAAGCUUACGACAAAGAUGAUGAUUAUCACUUUCUCCGUCGAAUAGUUUCCUCCGAAUUACAUCAAAAUCAAUGGAGCCAACAUCUACGUGGGAAGGAGAAACAAUCUCGGAGAAGAUAGAUCAAACGCUCGCCGGCGGAGAAGGCACUAAUCAGGCGGCGUGUGGAGCGGAGUUUCUUUACUCACCUCUAUCUGCUUCACGAGUUGCCACCAUGAAUCUUUAGGGUUCGUUGUUAGCUCGAAGCUCUGAUUAGUUUCACCAACAAUGGAGGCUCUAAAAGAGCAAAACCCCAUGAAUUUGUACGGUUUGGCAUGAUUGGAGACGUUCGCGGUGAAAGGAUAUGAAUGAGCAAGAGAAUGAAGAGAAAUGAUGCAGAUCAUGGUGAGUAAUAUACAUCUUUAACCUUUGGCAAUGAUUUACAAAAUAUUGCUCUGUAAUAUUUACAGAUCAUUCAAUCAAAAUUAUAAUAACCUGUAUGGGCUUAGUUUUGCUAUUGUUUGUUGUAGAUGCAAUUAUGUACCAUUAAUUAGUCUGAGUCUAUUUUAAAACCAAAAUCUCUAUUUAAAAUCUCAAAAAGGGUCUAAGUUGGUUAGACCUUUAGGGGCUAAUUUGUAGAGGAAGAAGAGAAGCACAAUAUAACGACUGCGUGUAUUUUGAUAUAUAUGAGAAGAAAGAUGCAAUAUAGAUGUCAAACAAUAUAAAUACUACUUAGGUUUUCUUUCUCGCCUAGGAAUUUGAGUUCAUGUUUCUUUAUAAAGAUCUAUAUUAUUAGUUUUUUUUCUACAUUUCAGAUAUUCCAUUUCCAUCCGCUUAUAUUGUAGAAUAAAAGAAUCCUUAAAAUUGAUGCUCCAGAUGAUCAAAAGUAUUAUAACAAUUUUUUGAGGUGCUGUUUGUGGAGAAAAUUUUUAAUUGGAUUUUGCAUUGCAGAUAAGUGUAUGUGAAGUAUUUUUCGGACUAAUGAUUAGUUAAUUAUUGUUUUUUUUGUCGUCCUAAUGAUUAGUUUAUUAUUGUAGCUUGAUGAAUGUGUUACUGUAUUUCUUGCAGUUGAUGUUUUAUCCAUCUGAUUCAGCAAACUAAACAAGCACAUUGAUCCCAAUAAUGCCUCUUUAGCUUCCCUUAGAAACACUAAUGGUUGUUUUUUAAAGAGUCCACAUGAAUUUCUCUUUCAGAUGCAUAAGGUAAAACCACAACAAUUUUAUGUUGAUUUUUUUAGUUUACUCACUUCAACCUUCAACCUUCAACUAUCCAUCUCAGUUAUGGCUUGCACUGCUUAGUGCAGUGGGUGUUUGCUACAAGUGAAGGAAAGUUGCCAUUGCAUAUAACUUCGCCAAAAGAUUGUUGGGAACUAACUCAAAUCUAGCUAGCUAUGCCAACCUGACCACACACGUUGUGGAAGCUACUAAACGUAACAUGACGGAUGAACCGUUAGUUUAUAAACAAAUUAAUGCCAUCUCAACAUAUAUGUAUAUAUAUAUAUAUAUAUAUUAUUGUAAACAAAUUAAAAUAAAGAAAAGAAAAUAAGCAAAAUUGAUCGGUCAAUCUUAAUGCCAUCUCAACAUAUAUAUAAAUAUAUUACUAGGGUAUACAGGUUUAUGUGGUUCUCUGCGGCAUAACAACUUUCUGCGAUAUUUGCAGGUUUGCUUUGCUCUCCAUCUUAAGACCCAUGAUCAAUUCAGAUUUGUAACUCUGAGAGCUUGAAAGUGGCAGUGGAUGAAGUUAUUUAAGUAUACGAAAAUU